CUCCAGACUACCAAAGGUUUUCAUUUCAGAUCUGCUGAGUGGACCAUCAUUACAGUGGACAUCUCAAGCCCCUUAAUUGACAUGACGGUUUGCCACAUGGAGAAAAAAAGCUACCCUCCAGUUAACCCUGUGAAGAACCCCAUCCAAGUUGUCUUCCUGUUAGCCCUGAACAGUCUGGCAGCGGCGUGGAUCAUCCCUCAACCACGUCAAAACAUCUGGGUAACCUUGGCACAGACACUCAAGCAGGAAAACAUAUGCUUGUCCACUGCAGCAGCAAUAGACCCUAUGUCCACCUGCCUUGUAGGAGUUCCACUAAAAGUUAGAAUUUGAAGGACUUUGCUGCCUGA